UUGUAGUCUGCAACCCGACUACAUGAAGCUGGAAUCGCUAGUAAUCGCGGAUCAGAAUGCCGCGGUGAAUACGUUCCCGGGUCUUGUACACACCGCCCGUCACACCAUGGGAGUCGGAAGUGCCCGAAGUCUGUGACCCAACCUUAGGGGAGGGAGCAGCCGAAGGCAGGUCGGAUGACUGGGGUGAAGUCGUAACAAGGUAUC
rnacentral:rRNA from 1 species